GGCAUUAAAAGUGUUAAUUAUCUUGCUGGCAAUGGAGGCCUCACUGAGCCGUCGGAUUUUAUCAAAAAUAUCUUAAUUUGUGUUGUGAAGAUGAAUGAAGGUCUUACGGGUGUGGAACGACACGAGCGUGAGUAAUUAAUGACAGAAUUUUCAUUUUUAAUUUUUUUUUUUUUUUUUUUCAGGAUUCUUUGAUGAAUAAAAAGUUAAAAAAGACCAACAUUUAUUUAAAAUAGAAAUCUUUUGUAACAAUAUACACUACCGUUCAAAAGUUUAGAGUCAGUUUUUUUUUUUUUUUUUUGAAAGAAAUUAAUACUUUUAUUCAGCAAGGAUUGGGUAAAUUGAUAAAAAGUGACAGUAAAGAUUUAUAUUGUUAGAAAAGAUUUCUAUUUUGAAUAAAUUAAUAAAUUCAUCAAUGAAUCCUGAAAAAACUAAAAAAGUAUCACAGGUUCCAAAAAAAUAUUAAGCAGCACAACUGUUUCCAACAUUGAUAAUAACCGAGUAUCAAAUCAGCAUAUUAGAAUGAUUUCUGAUUUCUAUUUUCCACAAUCCCCUCUGUAAAAACUCUAAUAUGUCAAUAAAAUCAAACAAGAAUUUUGUAUCUAACUUCAUCCAAUGUUCAGAUUUCUGUUCUAAAAAUGUAUGCAAGAGUGUGCAUAUUUAAUCAGAUAAUGCAUCAUUUGCAUAUUUAAACAACAUUUUAAAAAAAAAACUAUUUUCUUAAUGUACUGUGAUGAAUCAACUGGGGAAGCGUGGUGAUAUAGUUACAUUUUUUACCCUAUUUACCUGAAGUCAGUCAUCACUAACACUAGUGCUCAUACACACUAUUACAUUUAAGCGUGAACAUGAUCAUCCCGCAGCGUUUGUGCUCCAGACGUCUUGUUGAGGAGAGUGUCGUUACUUUACUAAGUGUUGCACCAUUUUCAGAAAGCAGGUGAAAAAAAAUCCCACAUAUGCACACUGAACCCUGAAUAUCAUCACAGAGACUUGAGGAACUGCAUAUCAACACCUUGGACCCUGAACACCAUAGCAACUGCAUAUGAACGUCAUGCCAAUCACCCACAAUAUCGCAUCACGUCGGUGAGUUUGGGGAAAAUGGGGAAAACACCACUCACGGUUAAUUAAAUGUCACAAAAACAUCACAUUCUUUCAGAACUUUCUUAAUUUUUGUAACAAUAUGCGAUCAAAGAAAAGUCGUUUUCCUCCAUCAGCGCAGAGGGAGUUUCUGAUCCUGCAGACGUGGCUGUUAUGGCAGGCAAGAGUGUCAAAUGAUGGUGACAAGGUUUUAGGGAACUUGAUAGGAUACUUGUUUUCUGCAAGCUGUUUUUUUUUUUUUUUCUGGAGAAACAGGGAUGUUCUUUCCAAGUCUUUCUUGAGUUAAUGACAUUAACAUUGUUGAAAGUGGUGGGUGAUGAUUAUAUAACACACACACACACACACACACACACACACACACACACUCUCUCUCUCUCUUAAUUAGCAUACCUCUCUUUAAUCACACAGGCUUAUUCAUUAUUCAUCGCCGCAGCAGAAUGAAUUAUUCAACAGUCACAUUUCCGCACAGAGGAAGAAGAAUGUGAGGGAUUGCCAGAGUCUCUCCUGUCCCCGCUCAUCUCUAAAUGACACAACAGCAUCAUUCGGUUUUUUUGUCCUCCUUUAUAAAUCAUUCUGUCUUUCUUUGAUUGUAAACAAAAGCGUGGUGGGGAAAAAACGGACAGAUUCAGGCACGAUUUGUACCUAAAUAUGCAUUCUAAAAAAUAAUGCAUAAUAUUAAUGAUAAUCUUGAAUAUAAACCUUGAAUUGUACUGGACAAAAAAAUAUUUUAGAUAAUAAAAUGUUUAAAUGAUAAACUAAAAAACCUUAAUAUGUAUGUCAAUCUUAAAAAAACAAAUAAUAAUAAAAAAAAAAAAAAAACUUACAUCCUACUGGACAAAAAUUAAAUGUUAAAUAUAUGUCAGUAUACAGUCAAACCAAAAAUUAUUCAGACACUAGAUAUAAUUUUGAAUAUAUUUUUACUAGUGGGUGCAGGACACUAUAGUUCAUUUAUGUAAGUGAGGAUAGCAAAAUAAACUGACAUAUUAUACCCAAAAAUUCUUCAUACAGUGGACUACCAGUAAAACUGAUAAAAAUUUGGAACCAAAAAUUAUUCAGAUACUUUUACCUGACCAUGUUUUGCUUAAGUGUUAUCUGACAUAAUUAAGAUUAUUUUUUUCUGACACAGUUUAACUCUGAGAUCUUGUCAUAUUUUAUUACCAUUUCUUUCAACUAUAGUGAAUAAACUGUAUUAAUGAAUGAAAUGUUCAAGGUGUCUGAAUACAUUUUGGUUUGACUGUAUGUCCUACUGGACAAAAAAAUUAACAUAAUAUGUUAAAUAUAUAUGUCAAUCUUAAACAAACAAAGAAAAACUUAGAUCCUACUGGACAAAAAAAAUAAUAAUAAUAAUAAUAAUUAAAAUGUUAAAUAUUAAUGUCAAUCUUGAAUAUAAACCUUGAAUUGUACUGGACUAAAAUAUUUAACAUAAUAAAAUAAUUAAAUGAUAAAUAUGUAUAUCAAUCUUAAACUAAAAAACCUUAGCCUAAAUCCUACUGGACAAAAAAAACAAAAAUGAAUUAACAUAAAACAAUUAAAUGUUAAACAUAUGUCAAUCUUAAAAACCUUUUUAAAAAAAAAAACAUAACAUAACAUAAUAUGUUAAAUAUAUAAGUCAAUCUUAAACUAAAAAAAAAAAAUUAGAUCCUACUGGACAAAAUAAUAAUAAUAAUAAUUACAAUGUUAAAUAUUAAUGUCAGUCUUAAAAAUAUACCUUGAAUUGUCCAUGACAAAAAAUAUUUAACAUUAUAUAAUUAUUAAAUGACAAAUAUGUAUGUCAAUCUUAAACUAAUCUUAUGUUCUACUGGAUGAAAAAAAAAAUUAACAUAAUAAAAUUAUGAAAAUGUAAUUAAAUGUUAAAUAUUAAUGCCAAUCCUAACGGACAAAACUUAUUGGGCAAAACUGCUCCAUUACCAAACACUAUUUUACACAGGGUAUCCCAUAAUCCUCUGCUCUGCUGCCAAUUAUCCGUUCAAAAGAAAAAGAGAGAGUGAAGCGGCUGAAAAAUGCUGCACAAAAAGUCUUCAGAGACGUUCACAACAUCUCUCUUCUGCUUCUGUUUCACUCAAUUAGUUCUGCUUUCCAUCAACACCGCUGCAUUUGCAUAAGCCACCCACCCUCACACACACACUUUCUUACACACACACACUGAUGGGAAGUUAAUGAGAGCUGGUAGGAGAGGACGCUCCUCUCCACAUGAGAGACUUCACACUGUUUUAAAGCUUCACUGACGGCAUGAGGAGGUGCAGCGCUUGCGGUUUGCGCAUCAAUGGCAGGCAGAGUUCAUCCAUGCCUGCACUGGAUGAUUUGAAGGUUUUGUUACAUAUCCUACAAUUCACAACAACAAAAUUGCCCAGGGAAACACAUUAAUUCUCAGAGCCUGCUCUUUCAUGGCUGAGAAGACUUAAUUGAGCUCUCAGUUAAUCAAAGCAUCAAAUAAAUCUCCUAAAAUCCCUCAGGAGAAAUAAACUCACAACAAGUCAAUAAUUUGAAUGCAAGAACCGACAAAAUGCAUACUGUACAUGAAGCAAGUCGCUUUGGAUAAAAGCAUCUGCCAAAUGCAUGCAUGUAAAUGCAAAUAUAGUAUAGAACUAUCUGUUUAAAAUUGAUAUUUCAGGUUCUAGAUUUAACCCCGUCAAGCGCUGUGACAUUGUGCAGAUCACAGAUCGCUUUGGGAAUCACUUCACUGAACCAACAUUCGUGUUUUGGGAAUGAACUGGAAUAGCUUUCUGCCUACAUGAUGAAAACUAAUGGAAUAUUUCAAUCAUCCAGUCAUCCCUCUGCAUCUGAAACAUCAACACAGAUGAUGAUGAUGAUGUCAGGAGGAAAGUUUUUGUCGCUCAAACACAGUUUUAUAUGGCGGCUCCAUAUGGGGGUCGUAUUUGUCACCCGUCAUCCUGUUCUCAUCAUGUGCUCCAUCUGCUCUGAUGGGGCUGAAAUGAGCCACAAAAUUCACCAAGAGACAAAUAAACUCUGGAUGCGGCUCAUCUCAGGUGCAUCAGAGUGUGUGUGUGUGUGUAGGUGUGUGUGUGUGUGUGUGUGUGUGUGUGUGUGAUCUGAUUCACUGUUCUCAGUGUGUGAAUGGACUGGAGGAAGUCAUAUAUUUCUCUGGUGUGUUUCAGACAGCACUAUUAUCAAUUUUAUUAAUAUUUUGUAUUUAAGUAGUUUUUAUUUUUAUAUGUUCAUAUUUUAAUUUUAGUUAAAGUUUUGGUAAUUUUGUUGUGAUGUUUUUAUUAAUAAUUAUCUAGGUUUUAGUUCAGUUUUAGUUAUUUUAGAUCAAGUUAAACUAAAUGAAAAUGAGAAAUGUCGUCCUGGCAAUUAGCUGAAAUAAAACUGUCUUUAUAUAUAAUUUUUUUUUUUUUUUUUUUUUUUCUUUUUUUUUAGUUAUAAAAUCCUGGACAGCACAGGUUUUAUCAGCAGGAACGGGAACAGAUUUGGGGUCAGAAAGCGUCAGCACUGGAUGAGCUCACGGCUCAUUAAUCAGCCACUUAAUUUUAGACACUGCUGGGUUUAAAGGGUUAGUUCACCCAAAAAUGAACAUUCUGCCAUCAUCAAGAACCAAUAAGUUUCAUUCUCGUGUUACGCAGCACAUUUGAGCUUCUUCAAGAACCAGUGAGGUUCAUUCUUGUGUUACGCAGCAAGUUUGAGCUUCUGCAAGAACCAAUGAGGUUUGUUCUUGUGUUACGCAGCACAUUUGACGUUCUUCAAGAACCAAUGAGGUUCGUUCUCGUGUUACGCAGCACAUUUGACCUUCUUCAAGAACCAAUGAGGUUCGUUCGUGUUACGCAGCAAGUUUGAGCUUCUUCAAGAACCAAUGAGGUUUGUUCUCGUGUUACGCAGCAAGUUUGAGCUUCUUCAAGAACCAAUGAGAUUCGUUCUCGUGAUACGCAGCACGUUUGACGUUCUUAAAGAACCAAUGAGGUUUGUUCUGGUGUUACGCAGCACGUUUGACCUUCUUCAAGAACGUGUGAGGUUCGUUCUUGUGUUACGCAGCACGUUUGACCUUCUUCAAGAACGUGUGAGGUUCGUUCUUGUGUUACGCAGCACGUUUGACCUUCUUCAAGAACGUGUGAGGUUCGUUCUUGUGUUACGCAGCACGUUUGACCUUCUUCAAGAACGUGUGAGGUUCGUUCUUGUGUUACGCAGCACGUUUGACCUUCUUCAAGAACGUGUGAGGUUCGUUCUUGUGUUACGCAGCACGUUUGACCUUCUUCAAGAACGUGUGAGGUUCGUUCUUGUGUUACGCAGCACGUUUGACCUUCUUCAAGAACGUGUGAGGUUCGUUCUUGUGUUACGCAGCACGUUUGACCUUCUUCAAGAACGUGUGAGGUUCGUUCUUGUGUUACGCAGCACGUUUGACCUUCUUCAAGAACGUGUGAGGUUCGUUCUUGUGUUACGCAGCACGUUUGACCUUCUUCAAGAACCAAUAAGGUUCAUUCUCGUGAUACACAUCUCGUUUGACCUUCUUCGAGAACCAGUGAGGUUCGUUCUCAUGUUACGCAGCACUUUUGAGCUUCCUAUCUAUCUAUCUAUCUGUCCGUCCGU